CUAUGUGUUGUUGGGUAGGGGAGCGUUCUGUAAGCCGUUGAAGGUGUGCUGUGAGGCAUGCUGGAGGUAUCAGAAGUGCGAAUGCUGACAUAAGUAACGAUAAAGCGGGUGAAAAGCCCGCUCGCCGGAAGACCAAGGGUUCCUGUCCAACGUUAAUCGGGGCAGGGUGAGUCGACCCCUAAGGCGAGGCCGAAAGGCGUAGUCGAUGGGAAACAGGUUAAUAUUCCUGUACUUGGUGUUACUGCGAAGGGGGGACGGAGAAGGCUAUGUCAGCCGGGCGACGGUUGUCCCGGUUUAAGCAUGUAGGCGGA
rnacentral:rRNA from 1 species